AUCUUCAAGAACUGCUUUUGGAUCAAGUAUUCGCUUCUCCUUGCUUCUUUCUCGCGUUAUUCCUCUUGAGUUUUGUUACCUUUCGGCUGGAAAUGGACCACUUGCCGCUGGUGUGGCAGUGGUUGGAGCAUGACCAUGUUGAUGAUGAGCUGUCACUGGCCCAUUCCAAGAGGUUUUCUGGAUAGAAAUUCCUUUUCAGGGAGAUUAGAGGGACGGAACCUUUUGACGUAUUCUUUAUGACAGGAGGGUUUCAUGCCUAUAAUCCCAGCACUUGGAAGACGGAGAUAAAAGGGUCGCCGUGAGUUUGAGGACAGCCUGCACUACAGAAAACUACUUCCCCAGAACGGAGGUGUGUGAAAUGUCUUUGUCCCCCUAGGAAGUGUGGGAGUCACCACUGAGCCUUGUCAGGCCAGGUGGGAAGCUGAGACCGAUGAAGUGGUCCUGCAGCGGUGGCAGAAGCAGAUAGAUUAUGGCAAGUGCAUACCUGGGUACCAGAGCUUUCUGCAGCAGGUCCCCAGGUGAGUGCAGUUGUAGGCAGCCACAAGGAUGCCAACCAAAUGGCUGUAGCUCAUUGUCAGGUGCUGGAAGAUAACUGGAAAGUGGAUGCAGAUGGACUGGUUCUCCUGCCGUCUAGUCCCCAAUACGUUUGAGAUUUCUCUCAAGUAGAAGCGUACUUUCCCAGAAGGCUUUCAAGGCUUGCCAUGUUCCGCCCCCUCCCCCCCCCCCGCCCGCCCCUUCUUUUUAAUCAUUUAAUGUGUGUGUUGGGUGAGGGCAGAUGUGCUUGUGGAAGUCAGAGGGAUCUUUACUUCCAGGACAGGCUCUUCUGGGGAUCAAACUUGCUCAUCUGGCCCUCCUAUCCUACCUAGUGGUUUUUAACCUCCUAAACCAUCUUGCUGUCCCCCACAUUCCUUUUCUUAUUAAUUUUCUUUGUUACUGUACAAAGGAAUGGUUUCAUUGGGAUGACUUCAUUAUAUGAAAGUAUUUCACUAUUAUUUGUUCAUUUAACUUUUUAAAGCUUUUAUUGUGCGUUUAUGUUUUCCCUGCAUGUAUGUCUAUACACCACAUGAAUGCUGUGGAGGCCAGAAGAGGAUAUCAGAUUCCCUGGGACUGGAACUGCAGAAAGUUGUGAGCUAUCAUGUGGGUGCUGGGAAUCAAAUCCAGGUCCUCUGAGCUGUCUCAGCCCCCCUCUUCUAUUUUCCAUAUGUUCCAAUAUUCUCUUAUUCUCUCCUCUCUGCUCCCUUCAGACCUCUUACCUCAUGUCUCUCUCUCUCUCUCUCUCUCUCUCUCUCUCUCUCUCUCUCUCUCUCUCUCUCUCCCCCCUCUCUCUCUCUCUCUCACACACAAACAAACAAAAUGUAUCAAAAGUUGGAUAUCAUCUUUACUCAAGGGCCAGUGUAAGUUUCUGUAUCAUUACAAUUCCCCUCAAAGUGAGCAUUACAAGUGAACAUUAUUCCCCACCCUUUCCCUCCCUCUCCCUCCGUGUCUCUCAGACAGUCUCAUGUAGCCUCAGCUGGCCUCAAUCUCUCUAUGUAGUUAAGAAUGACAUUGAACUUGCCUCCACCUCUGAGGGCUAACAUUUCAGGAUGUGCCACCAGGCCUGGCUUCACUGAAUUCGCUGGAUUGGAGCAUCAUCCUGUCCUUGGGUAAUCCUGUCUAGGCUUCUGAUUUACUGUGAUAAGCAAUGAGCAGUGUCCCUUUCCUUUGACUUCAAUCUGACCCAUAUUUGUCAUUGUCAGGGCACAGCGACAGCCGGGUUUUCACCCUCAAACACCAAACAAAAACAGGAGAUACAGUCGCAGAUCCUGAGAUGCCCAAAUCAGGCAAUGGAGAAGAGCCCUGCAUACCUGGGACCCCCCAAGCCAGCCUCUCCAUGACAGACAGGCUGAGGGGUGUGUUCACUAAUCUGGCUCCUAUGAGUGGUGUGGUUUAAGUCCUACUUUGUCCACUGCAAAGAUUUGGGUUGUAUAAUUGUGGGGGGGGGCGGUAUCUGCAUGAGUGUAUGUUCUCUCAUUCUGCUGCCCCUCUAGGAAAGCAACAAAGAACUUCCUAAGGACAUUGGGUUCUACUCCUUUAGAUGAUCUCCUGGUAGCUGGCCCCAGGGCUCAGAAUCCUCAGAGAAUUGGGACAGAGGUGAGAAAGAGGCCCAGGUAGUAUCCUCUGCUGAAACCACUGGCUCAGGAAAAUAGAUGGGGUUUGACCUGUGAGAGCAUAAAUAAGGUAUAGUCCAAAGGAGACGGGGCUAGAGCUAUACGGCCUCCAUGGGUCUGAUCUCUCUUCACCAGAGAUGAAGGAAUUGGGCAUGGUGGUGCAAAAUCCUGUGGGCUCUGGGAAGGUGAAAGUAAGAGGAACAGGAGUUUUAUUUAUGUUAAGUAACAUAAAUAAAGCUGAUUUUUAUAAA
rnacentral:lncRNA from 1 species